UACGUAGGGUGCGAGCGUUAAUCGGAUUUACUGGGCGUAAAGAGCGCGCAGGCGGUCGUUCAAGUCGCGUGUGAAAGCCCCCGGCUCAACUGGGGAGGGUCACGCGAUACUGAUCGACUGGAAGGCAGGAGAGGGUAGUGGAAUUCCCGGUGUAGUGGUGAAAUGCGUAGAUAUCGGGAGGAACACCAGUGGCGAAGGCGACUACCUGGCCUGUUCUUGACGCUGAGGCGCGAAAGCUAGGGGAGCAAACGGG
rnacentral:rRNA from 1 species